UUGCUUCAGCAGCACAUUAACACUAAAAGUGGAACGGCACAGAGAAGAUUAGCAUGGUCCCUGGACAAGGAUGACGCGAAACAUUUUCACUCAUAACAAACACCA